rnacentral:tRNA from 3 species
GGUCGCGUGGUGUAGUUGGUUAUCACGUCAGUCUAACACACUGAAGGUCUCCAGUUCGAGCCUGGACGCGAUCA